rnacentral:rRNA from 1 species
CCCUUAGAUGUUCUGGGCCGCACGCGCGCUACACUGACGAAUGCAACGAGCUUAUAACCUUGGCCGAAAGGUCUGGGUAAUCUCCAAAUUUCGUCGUGAUGGGGAUAGAUUAUUGCAAUUAUUAAUCUUCAACGAGGAAUGCCUAGUAAGCGCAAGUCAUCAGCUUGCGUUGAUUACGUCCCUGCCCUUUGUACACACCGCCCGUCGCUCCUACCGAUUGAAUGGUCCGGUGAAGCGUUCGGACCGUGGCCUUUUGACGGUUCGCUGUCGAUUGGCUGUGGGAAGUUCGUUAAACCUUAUCAUUUAGAGGAAGGAGAAGUCGUAACA